AGAGAGCAGUGAUUGGUCAGACCAUAGAUAAUAUAGAAGACAGCGCGCUAGCGGAUCUAGUCUGUGUUUAUCUAUGGUCGGCAGGUCUGGUAGCAUCUCUGACUGCUGUUGAUCUUGUUUUUGGAGUAAAACACGGUGGAAGCUGAAUUAGUGAGGAUGACUCCUGCUCCUGUCAUCUCUAAGCUCCUCACACAUCUUUACCUGCACAUGAGGAAAAUCACUCCUGUAGAAUGCAGAUGUUCAGAGGGAGAUGAUGCCACAUCUGGUCCAGCUGAUGGAAGGUCUUGAAGUUCUCUGACUGGCCUCGACUGAAGAUGGUCGUCUCACUGGAUUUAAGAUGCACAAUGAGGGACGUCUGCAGAGACUGAGAAAGAGUCUCACCACAUCCUGACAUGAGGAAAAAGACUUUAUUGAAGACUACAAUGAGAAAAACUAUCAGACAGCAGACGGCUGCAUUCAAGUUUAGGCUGUUAGAUUGUUCCAGAUAAGACAAGUACAAGAUUCUUCAGAGCCGUUCUACCACGAGCCUGACAGGAAGAACUCCAACAGCUACUGAAUGUUCCUGUGGUUCCCUCAAGGCUACAGGAGGAGCCCUACGAGGACGAGCCGGUCCACCUGAUGGUGGCCAGUCGCUGCGGUUCAAAGCCAACACCGACUACGUGGACUUCUACUGGACCACACGGAGGCCUUCAAACCGGACCAACAAGUUCAGCGACUCCCCGACUCGUGGGUCUGAGGACGCCGCCGAGCCUCGGUCCAGCCGGCCUCCUGUCUGUGGGUGUUUGAGUGCUGAGAGGUUUGUGGAUGCAUGUGAACGUUCUGUGUUGAAACAGCAGCUUUUGACUCAGUAACGCCAGGAAAAACUAAGAGCUCCUUUAUUUGUGACUUCCACUAAACAAACUGAUGAAAAUAAGUUUACCAGGAUUCUGACUGAUAACAGAUUAUUAAAUAAUGAAAAUAAUCAUUUAAAUAUUCCUUUAAACAAUCCUUUUAGGUCUACAUUUCCUUUACACUGACUUCUUGGUAUAUGUACAAGUAUUUUGGGUGGAAUAUACCAUUAAGCCUAAUGUUCAAG
ensembl:lncRNA